rnacentral:rRNA from 1 species
GACGGAGGGUGCAAGCGUUGUUCGGAUUGACUGGGCGUAAAGGGCGUGUAGGCGGUCGGGCAAGUCUGGUGUGAAAGCCCGGGGCUCAGCUCCGGAAGUGCAUCGGAAACUAGCUGGCUGGAGCGCGAUAGAGGAGGGCGGAAUUCCUGGUGUAGCGGUGAAAUGCGUAGAUAUCAGGAGGAACACCGGCGGCGAAGGCGGCCCUCUGGAUCGUUGCUGACGCUGAGACGCGAAAGCGUGGGGAGCAAACAGG